rnacentral:rRNA from 1 species
GCAGCGACGCCGCGUGAGGGAUGACGGCCUUCGGGUUGUAAACCUCUUUCAGCAGGGACGAAGCGCAAGUGACGGUACCUGCAGAAGAAGCACCGGCUAACUACGUGCCAGCAGCCGCGGUAAUACGUAGGGUGCAAGCGUUGUCCGGAAUUACUGGGCGUAAAGAGUUCGUAGGCGGUUUGUCGCGUCGUUUGUGAAAACCAGCAGCUCAACUGCUGGCUUGCAGGCGAUACGGGCAGACUUGAGUACUGCAGGGGAGACUGGAAUUCCUGGUGUAGCGGUGAAAUGCGCAGAUAUCAGGAGGAACACCGGUGGCGAAGGCGGGUCUCUGGGCAGUAACUGACGCUGAGGAACGAAAGCGUGGGUAGCGAACAGGAUUAGAUACCCUG